GAUGAAGAACGUAGCGAAAUGCGAUACGUAAUGUGAAUUGCAAAUUCAGUGAAUCAUCGAGUCUUUGAACGCACAUUGCGCCCCCUGGUAUUCCGGGGGGCAUGCCUGUCCGAGCGUCAUUGCUGCCCUCAAGCACGGCUUGUGUGUUGGGCCCCGUCCUCCGAUCCCGGGGGACGGGCCCGAAAGGCAGCGGCGGCACCGCGUCCGGUCCUCGAGCGUAUGGGACUUUGUCACCCGCUCUGUAGGCCCGGCCGGCGCUUGCCGAUCAACCCAAAUUUUUAUCCAGGUUGACCUCGGAUCAGGUAGGGAUACCCGCUGAACUUAAGCAUAUCAAUAAGCGGAGGA
rnacentral:misc_RNA from 1 species